rnacentral:ncRNA from 1 species
CUUGCAAUUGUUCCCCUUGAACGAGGAAUUCCCAGUAAGCGCGAGUCAUAAGCUCGCGUUGAUUACGUCCCUGCCCUUUGUACACACCGCCCGUCGCUACUACCGAUUGAAUGAUUUAGUGAGGUCUUCGGACCGAUACCCGGAGCGGCCUUUCGGUUGCGCCGGUGUGUUGGAAAGAUGACCAAACUUGAUCAUUUAGAGGAAGUAAAAGUCGUAACAAGGUUUCCGUAGGUGAACCUGCGGAAGGAUCAUUA